CUGCGAUGUGCUGGAGACUACUAGAAACUUGUUCUAGUAUAGAAUAGCUUAGUGGAUCAGGAUGUUGCUAAAUUAAAUCCCUUGUUACACUCGUUUAGUUCUGGACAGGAUUUGAACGUUUUACACUUUUAUCAGAUCAUUUCAAUCAUGCUUCAUACCGAAAUUACAAUUAACCCAUUCAAGCCUUGUAUAAACAAUAACGGACAGUAUUCUGUGUUAGAAAAAAUAUAUGUACUUCCAAUCAAAUCGUGCAAUUUCCUUGGUACACAGGUGCACAUUCUUUGAUGCCCGAAAUGCAUUCCAAGCUCUAGAUAUCUGCCUUCAAUAAUGGCCUAUAAUCACAUUUGCCAAAAAACAGCUGCUUUGUAAUGCUGGUGUGUCCCACUUAGUUUGAUUAUCUUAGUUAAGCUGUAAUAUCGAACUCGAAGACCUGUUUCGUUAUUAUUUCUUGAAAUGCAGCUGAACCAGAAUUUCCUUUGGGACGAGAUGCUUUCCGGACAAACAUUAUUGUAUGCUGAUAUAAUAAUUAACAACCGAUCCUAUGGGCUGAAAUAUGUGUUAAAAGCUUGGAGCAAGACACAUUACGAUCGAUGGCGUUCGCUGACUGAUGCAUUGCUAUUUACUGCUGACUAGCUUAUCCUUUUGUUGCCUCUAAUCAGUGAUGAACACCAAUUAGAAUCAAUCGAUUUAAUUCACAGGAUAU